rnacentral:rRNA from 1 species
AACGAGCGCAACCCUCGCCUUAGUUGCCAGCAUUCAGUUGGGCGACUCUAGAGGGACGUGCCGGUGUCAAACCGGAGGAAGGCGGGGGAGUGACGUCAAGUCCUCAUGGCCUUUAUGUCUAGGGCUACACACGUACUACAAUGGCCGGUACAAAGGGCAGCCACUUAGCGAUAAGGCGCCAAUCCCAUAAAGCCGGUCUCAGUCCGGAUCGCAGUCUGCAACUCGACUGCGUGAAGUUGGAAUCGCUAGUAAUCGUAGAUCAGCAUGCUACGGUGAAUACGUUCCCGGGCCUU